UAGAGUUUGAUCCUGGCUCAGAUUGAACGCUGGCGGCAGGCCUAACACAUGCAAGUCGAGCGGAUGAGAGGAGCUUGCUCCUGGAUUCAGCGGCGGACGGGUGAGUAAUGCCUAGGAAUCUGCCUGGUAGUGGGGGACAACGUUUCGAAAGGAACGCUAAUACCGCAUACGUCCUACGGGAGAAAGCAGGGGACCUUCGGGCCUUGCGCUAUCAGAUGAGCCUAGGUCGGAUUAGCUAGUUGGUGAGGUAAUGGCUYACCAAGGCGACGAUCCGUAACUGGUCUGAGAGGAUGAUCAGUCACACUGGAACUGAGACACGGUCCAGACUCCUACGGGAGGCAGCAGUGGGGAAUAUUGGACAAUGGGCGAAAGCCUGAUCCAGCCAUGCCGCGUGUGUGAAGAAGGUCUUCGGAUUGUAAAGCACUUUAAGUUGGGAGGAAGGGUUGUAGAUUAAUACUCUGCAAUUUUGACGUACCGACAGAUAG
rnacentral:rRNA from 1 species